CAUUCAUCCAUGGUUCCAGAUGUUUUACUGGAAACAUUAACCUUUACCCACCAUAUGUGUGUGUGUGUUUUUUUUACAGUUUCCUUUUUCUUUUCCAAAACUCACUUUCUUCUUGUUGCGAUUGCAGGUGUGAAGAGUUGGCAUUCUCACCAAUCUUCAUAUAUUUCAAAGGUAAGGCUUUAAUAUUUUGCUAAGUAAUUAUGCAAGGAAAAUUGUGUUAAGUUGACUAGAGUAGUUGUCGGGUUCUUAGACUAAAAAAUUUGUAGGAUCUUCAUGUCAUGGUAGUUUGAAUUCUAUUUCUCUUUCAUAGUUUUUUGUACUAGAAUUUCUUCUUAACUUUUGUGUGAAAGAACUGCUUUUGAUGGCUUACUUGAAGAAAGUAGGAGUAAUUGAAAUUGAUAUUUUAAAUCUGAGAAGUGGAUGAUGCCAUAGAGCUGGCACUGCAACCAGAGAGACUUACAACAUGCUGUUAUGGCUUCCACUUGAAAUCUGGAGGUGGAAGAACUAAAAUUGGACUGCAAACAACAAAAUUCAGGACCAUAUCAUGUGUAUGUAUGGAACAUAAAAUGGGAGGUAUGUAAGUGCCACCAAAUUUUGAUGGUUUACACAAUGAAUUGGUUAUUACUUUAUUUGAUAAUUAGAAUAUUUUGAUACAGUAUUGCGAUCGAACAAGUUGUGGUGACAUAUUUCUUGCUCAGGUAGACUUCACAUAAAGGGCAAUCUUCAGCACCUGAAUUCAAGUAUUUGUAGUGAUGUGAAGCUAGGGCUGCAAAGAAAAGAAAGGAAUCAUUGCGUUCUUCUUACUCUAACAUCACGCCAACUCUCAAUAGCCAAUACAAGUUAGGGCAUAAUUGCAUUGAUCCACCGCGCAUAGCGUGGAGACCACCUCCUAGUUUCUUUUCUAAGAGCAAAAGGCUACGAUAGUCUCUA
rnacentral:lncRNA from 1 species